rnacentral:misc_RNA from 1 species
UAUCCGUUGGUGAACCAGCGGAGGGAUCAUUACCAGAGUUUUACAACUCCCAACCCUUCUGUAAACCUACCUAUCGUUGCUUCGGCGGACUCGUCCCAGCCUCCGGACGGCCCCGCGCCGACCCGCGACCUCGGCCCAGGCCGCAGCCUUAGACCACACAAUCCCGUAGACCUCAGUCUCUCUUAAUCCCCCACAAGUCAAAACAAACUAAUCAAAACUUUCAACAAUGGAACUCUUGAUUCUGGCGUCAAUGAAGAACGCAGCAGAUCCGACGAUCAC